GACGAACGCUGGCGGCGUGCCUAAUACAUGCAAGUAGAACGCACAGUUUAUACCGUAGCUUGCUACACCAUAGACUGUGAGUUGCGAACGGGUGAGUAACGCGUAGGUAACCUGCCUGGUAGCGGGGGAUAACUAUUGGAAACGAUAGCUAAUACCGCAUAAUAUUGAUUAUUGCAUGAUAAUUGAUUGAAAGAUGCUAUUGCAUCACUACCAGAUGGACCUGCGUUGUAUUAGCUAGUAGGUGAGGUAACGGCUCACCUAGGCGACGAUACAUAGCCGACCUGAGAGGGUGAUCGGCCACACUGGGACUGAGACACGGCCCAGACUCCUUCGGGAGGCAGCCGUAGGGAAUCUUCGGCAAUGGACGAAAGUCUGACCGAGCAACGCCGCGUGAGUGAAGAAGGUUUUCGGAUCGUAAAGCUCUGUUGUAAGAGAAGAACGGGUGUGAGAGUGGAAAGUUCACACUGUGACGGUAUCUUACCAGAAAGGGACGGCUAACUACGUG
rnacentral:rRNA from 1 species